UACGAGUUUUAAGAUUAUAUUCUGGAGCUGUGGAGACGUAGGCUUGACUACCUAUUCUGUUACUUAAAGGAUGGCAGAUUGCUUGUUUGAUUUAAGAAUCUUGGCCUCCAGCCUACUUUUCCAGUAUGCCAGUCCCAUUGUUGACUGAUUUUCUUAACAUGUCCUUUAUGAUAAGGUAAAAGUUCUUCCUAAUUUUCUGUUAAUAUUGACUUUCCCAUUUUAAAGAUACACAUAAUAUCUU
rnacentral:lncRNA from 1 species